rnacentral:tRNA from 1 species
GCCUGAAUGGCUCAGUCGGUUGAGUGUCCGACUUUGACUCAGGUCAUGAUCUUGCAGUUCGUGGGUUCAAGCCCCGCGUCUGGCU